AGAAGUUCAGUCACUGUUUUAUUAUGCACAUUUCUCUGCAGUUUGCUCUUACCACUUAAUAAGAGAUCUUGAAAAUCCCCCGUCCUCCAGUGUGGAUUUAAUGCAUUCUUGUUAGCAGCUGACUGGAAAAGGAUGAAGCAUUCUUCAUGUUGAUAAACAGGUUUUACUUCUAGAAACAUCAAUUGUAUGACGCCAGGAUCAUAUGCUUUGCAUGUCUGAAUUUCCCGGGCGCUCCCCUUAGGAGAUUGUUGGCACCGUGUCACAAGAGAGGUUGGUGGAGGCAAGAGGUUCCUUAAAGGAGGACGGAGGACACAGCCAGAAACAAACAGCCCUUUAAUUGAGCUAGAAAAGACUGGAACUUCAAUUUCAGCCGUUUUGGUCACUUCUCCAACACUGCCACCAAGUGGCUAAAGAGGAACAAUGCAACUAGCAAACCCAAAGGGAAAGAUUGCAAGAGCUGGGCAGUCAUAAAAUAAAACCACCAUGCCUGGCUAAUUUUUUUUAUUUUUAAUAGAGACAGAAUCUCAUUAUGUUGCCCAGGCUGGUUUCGAGCUCCUGGA
rnacentral:lncRNA from 1 species